UACGUAGGGUGCAAGCGUUAAUCGGAAUUACUGGGCGUAAAGCGUGCGCAGGCGGUUUUGUAAGUCUGACGUGAAAUCCCCGGGCUUAACCUGGGAAUUGCGUUGGAGACUGCAAGGCUGGAAUCUGGCAGAGGGGGGGUAGAAUUCCACGUGUAGCAGUGAAAUGCGUAGAGAUGUGGAGGAACACCGAUGGCGAAGGCAGCCCCCUGGGCUAAGAUUGACGCUCAUGCACGAAAGCGUGGGGAGCAAACAGG
rnacentral:rRNA from 1 species